AAUAUAACCUUUCCUUCUCCCUCUGCAGAGUUGAAAGAUCUACAGAUCAAGUCAUCAAGCCAGUCAAUGUGGAAGCGCUGUCAAAGUGGGUCGGGAAGAUCCCUGCUGAUGUUCUGCAGGACAUGCCAGUGAUUGCACCCAUGCUAGCAAAACUGGGCUAUGAUCCGUAUGCCAACCCACCAAACUAUGGGAAACCAGAUCAAAAAGUUGUGGAAAAUACCAGAAGGGUCUUUAAAGGUGAAUUUCAGCUUCCUGACUUUCUUAAAGAAGUGCCACAGCCAAAGAAGACAGUAGAAAGGAGGUCUCGUGGCAAGAUAAAAUGAACAUGGAUCAGUGAAGUCAAAUAGCUAUAGUACUGAACCCAUGGAAUAGAAGAUGCAAUGGAUAUUUCUUGCACAGAAGAAGAAGACUGCUGCCUUCUCAAUGGAAGUGAUGUUACAAGGACUGUCCCACUGAGAUCAAUGAGGUGUACUGCUCAUGGCCUGCUUUUCUCACAGUUCUCUCUCCAUUACUUUCAUGCUCUUUUCUUUUUGUUCAAGGUUUUGUUGUUGUGAGCGCAUGCAAACCUGUUAAAAAAAAAAAAAUACUAAAAAAGUCACUGUUAAAUGUAGAACCGUAUUACAUGUAAACAACUACUUCUGAGGUUUUCAGAAAUGCAGAACAAUGCCUGUGUAUGAAAUUGCUCUUCUGUCGUCUCAAUCCCAAGCCUCCAUCCUCAAGGGUCUUUUAUUUUAUUUUUUUCUCCCUUUAGCAGUUUGGUUUUCAGUGUAUGAAACUUUCAGAGGAGUGGUCUGUGCUUGUCCUAAACGGUUUUUGGUGGAACAGUUUUGUUUUAUCAACAUGUGGAAAUGGUUUAAAUAUCUUUUAUUUAAAAAAACAAC